AGAAAUGCCAGGACUUACUUCCGGGUCAUUCCUGAAUCGGUUUUGUAUUGUCGGCUGAUUCCCAGGAUGACGACUUCCAAAAUGACCGCCCGUAGGGAGUUCCUGAGCUCUAGUCGAUGUUUCUGACCCCCCGAUAGAGAUGUCUUCCUUUCGACCUGCCUCAUCAACUCAGCAAAGCCUUCUUUGAUAAAUUUGUCAAUCUUAUUAUAUAUGAUAAACCGUUCCAUUUCAGCUCGAAACUGAUUCUGGGAUUCUACCACAAAGUUCCUCACAUCGCUACCAUGGCCUUGGUUGUCGACUCCCUCGAGGCUAUACUGUUCUUGGAUCGGAUCUAGCUGGAUGUGAGAAAAUAGUGUGAAACGGCAUUGGUUGCAGUGGAGGACAAGUGAAUGAUCCUGCCUUCCCUAAAGGGGUCGUAAGGAAACAGAAGGGGAAAGAACUACUAUAAACUAUCCCAUCCUACACGGUGAACUGAUCUGCGGCGCUAUUUCUCUAAUUGACUGUCCUCGACCUUGGAACAUGAUAGCAAAAUUUAUCGUUUAACACAAAACAAUGACAGAGUCGACUCUUUCCAACUUCGACUCAGUCGAAGUUGGGGAGUCAAGGGUGUCAUUUUAUUUAGUAAUCAAAAAUCCACGUUUCUUCACCCGCCAUCAUCCCUUCGACCUCUUGAUACAUCUCAACCGCCGUUCGUCAGUCAAAGACACCGAGGAAUCAUCCAGAAGCUUCUGAGACUCCUGUUCUUAAGAGACUCAGGACUUCGGAUUUCGGUUGUAUUGGCGACUGCCUGAAGAAAAAGGAUCUUUUUACGUCCCCCGACUGUUGCUCCUGUAUCUCGAUCGCAAAGCUUCCAGUCUGCUUGGACCAGCAGAUGUCGUCGAGCAAGAAACAUAAUCUUUCUGCUGUUCGCCUACCGGUCAGACGAGGACUUCAAAAAGGUCUAUGGGAAGAGGAAAAUCUUGUUGGUGCCUGGUGUGUUGCCAUUUAUAUUUGAAAUUGGGCGCCAAUAUUGUUACGUCCCAAAAUAGGACUACGUGUUUCCGCGAGUGCGCAGCGCCGGCAAGCUCUAGAGCACUUGGGGUGUGGGUACUCCAACCCUGCCCACACACACGCAACAAUAAACAAACAGAUGUCGCAGGACACCAUCGUAUAUAUUGUGGGCUUUUGGUAGUAAACCCAAAGCCUCUGCGCUCCCACCCAACCGUAGCAGCCGUAGAUGUCUCCGACUGCCCCUUGGACCGGUCACCGUAGGAUACCUUGGAACCGUCUACAUGUUCCCUCCCCUCUGAAAGAUAGAACUUCUUCAGCUUCCCGUAAGGAAACCCAUCAACCACCGCCCGCCGGGUGCAACAGUCCCACACAGGUUUUGUGUAGACGGAUAGAAUGUCUGUUUUCUUCCUUUCGGUCCCUACCUAAAAGAGCUCUCUUAAUUGGAUCCUAUUCGACGCGGUAGCUGGAGAGGAUUCCCCGUGGGAUUAACAAGUGCUCCGCGAUACAAUUGCGGUUAUGUUUGUUUUUUUUGUGUUUCUUGGUUCUUUGGCUUUGACGAUUUAAAUAUUAAGCCUCACCCAGAAAGAGCGAUAAGAGAUAGAUAACAAAUAGAUACAAAUAUGAAAACACUCGCCGUGAAUUGUUCACAUCCGGCAAUAAAUAAAUUGGCUUAAAUUUUUGAUAUAAAUAAAUAAAUAAUCGUGCAAUAGAUACUGUGCAAUAA